UACGGAGGAUGCAAGCGUUAUCCGGAAUGAUUGGGCGUAAAGCGUCCGCAGGUGGCGACGUAAGUCUGCUGUUAAAGAGUCUAGCUCAACUAGAUAAGAGCAGUGGAAACUACAUAGCUAGAGUACGUUCGGGGCAGAGGGAAUUCCUGGUGUAGCGGUGAAAUGCGUAGAGAUCAGGAAGAACACCAGUGGCGAAGGCGCUCUGCUAGGCCGUAACUGACACUGAGGGACGAAAGCUAGGGGAGCGAAUGGG
rnacentral:rRNA from 1 species